GGGAGCAUGACUCAGUCACGGUCUGAGAGCUGGACUAUGACUCUGGGGGUCAGGGUUCGAUUCCCCGCUCGGCCG